rnacentral:rRNA from 1 species
CUGGCUCAGGACGAACGCUGGCGGCGUGCCUAAUACAUGCAAGUCGUGCGGACCUUUUAAAA